ncrna:unclassified sequences gut-2 RNA
CGCCAGGGCCAAUUGGGGUACCUGAAGGGCCAAUCGGGGUCAGGAAC